AUUGAACGCUGGCGGAAUGCUUUACACAUGCAAGUCGAACGGCAGCACGGACUUCGGUCUGGUGGCGAGUGGCGAACGGGUGAGUAAUACAUCGGAACGUGCCCAAUCGUGGGGGAUAACGUAGCGAAAGCUACGCUAAUACCGCAUACGAUCAAAGGAUGAAAGCGGGGGAUCGCAAGACCUCGCGCGAUUGGAGCGGCCGAUGGCAGAUUAGGUAGUUGGUAGGGUAAAGGCCUACCAAGCCGACGAUCGGUAGCUGGUCUGAGAGGAUGAUCAGCCACACUGGGACUGAGACACGGCCCAGACUCCUACGGGAGGCAGCAGUGGGGAAUUUUGGACAAUGGACGCAAGUCUGAUCCAGCCAUUCCGCGUGCAGGAUGAAGGCCCCCGGGUUGUAAACUGCUUUUGUACAGAACGAAAAGGCUCUGGUUAAUACCUAGGGCUCAUGACGGUACUGUAAGAAUAAGCACCGGCUAACUACGUGCCAGCAGCCGCAGUAA
rnacentral:rRNA from 1 species